rnacentral:rRNA from 1 species
GGGGAGUACGGCCGCAAGGUUAAAACUCAAAUGAAUUGACGGGGGCCCGCACAAGCGGUGGAGCAUGUGGUUUAAUUCGAUGCAACGCGAAGAACCUUACCUACUCUUGACAUCCAGAGAACUUAGCAGAGAUGCUUUGGUGCCUUCGGGAACUCUGAGACAGGUGCUGCAUGGCUGUCGUCAGCUCGUGUUGUGAAAUGUUGGGUUAAGUCCCGCAACGAGCGCAACCCUUAUCCUUUGUUGCCAGCGGUCCGGCCGGGAACUCAAAGGAGACUGCCAGUGAUAAACUGGAGGAAGGUGGGGAUGACGUCAAGUCAUCAUGGCCCUUACGAGUAGGGCUACACACGUGCUACAAUGGCGCAUACAAAGAGAAGCGACCUCGCGAGAGCAAGCGGACCUCAUAAAGUGCGUCGUAGUCCGGAUUGGAGUCUGCAACUCGACUCCAUGAAGUCGGAAUCGCUAGUAAUCGUGGAUCAG